rnacentral:lncRNA from 1 species
GCCAUUUCAUCCGCCCUCCUCUUUUCCUCACUUCUUCCGCUCCCCCUCUCUCACCCUCCCACCGCCCCACCCGCCAUGGCCUCCUCCGACUACUCUUCGCCGCGUGGUACUCUCUUUCACUCUCUCCACCGCCCCCUCCCCCCUCUCUCCUGUUGAUUUAUGCAAGUUUUUUUUUUCUUCCUUUCAAAGAUCGGAAUUCAUGGCAGGCUCAUUUUCCUGAUCGAAUAUUUGUCUAAAGAUUAGUUUCUUGAAAUGAUCAAUUGGCAGGUGAAUCCUCGCCAGAUGGCCGCACCAGCCCGAUCCCCAACACCAACUCAUCCCCUUCCCGAUCGAUCGACACCGGAAGCCGUAGAUCUACAAGGGGCCGCCGCCGAGCCCCCGCUGCCAGCCCCUUCGCCUCCUCCCCCUCC